GGAAGUAUGGCUUAGCGAUAGAGCACCUGCCUAGAGAGUACAAGGCUCUGAGUUCAAACCCCAAUACUGCCC
rnacentral:tRNA from 1 species